rnacentral:lncRNA from 1 species
UUCUCUCUCCCUAUUUUCUAGAUUACAACUAGAACUAACUAGAACUAGAACUAGAACUAGAUGAACUAGAACUAGAACUAGAUGAACUAGAGGUAGAACUAGAUGAACUAGAGGGAUCCUCUCUACUUGGAUGAAGAAUUGAAACCCUAGCUUUGAUUCUGUAGAAGAGGUAUGAUCUCCAGGGGCCAUGGGGCCUUGCUUAUAUAGUCUUUUCAGAUGAAUCUGGGCCGUUGGAUCAAACCGACAUUGAUUGAACGGUUAUCCUUGAUCCUUUAGGUCGGUGGAGCAAUAUCCCGAAAAAGAGUCCUGAUUGGACUCUAUGUGAGGGCGGGCGCCCUGUCCCUGAGUCCUCUCGGCUUCCACUUUGUUCCCGUGGCUUCUGGAGUCUUCUAGAUGGUAGAAAAUUGCGCAGCACGUUAAUAUCUCUAUGUAAACCCGACGUGUGGGCCUUUCCUCCAUAUUUCCUGAUAACCCCCUGCAGAAAUAGACAAACACCAAAACUCGUGGAAUUCUGUCAGAUAAAACCCUAAGUCUAGGUGUUGGUUGCAUUUGGAUCCUUUUCUAUGAUUAGUUGACGGUUAAAUGUGAGCAUUAAGGACCGUCAACAAGCUCCCCCAAGCUUAACCUUUGCUCGACCCUGAGCAAAGAUGGACUCAAGAGUUUCUACAAUGGUUUUAUGCAUUAAAGAUACACAUGCGUUCAAACAAGAUCACAUCUCUGGGUUAGGGUAAACUAUUAAAAUUUAAACUUUCUCAUUUUACCUUCCACCAUGGGGCUUGUAACCAUCACUUGUGUCUUGAGCAGUUAAAAGAUAGAACGGUCUAGUCAAGCGCCAUGUCUCAUGUUCUUCGAUUAUCUAUAGCUCUGGAGUUUUUGCAGAUUUUCAAAUAAAACUCAGAGAUUCUUUGUAUGACUCUCUCUAGUCUCUCUUUUGUGGUAUUUCUGGAUCCUUACCAAGGCAGUAAUGGUGUAUGCCUUCUCUUAAAGUAUGUGGUAUUUUUGGUAUAAGGCAUAUUGACAUUGCCUUCUCUCUCACCCUGCUCUAAUAAGGCUUUUAAUAUCUGGAGCUCAUAGGUGGGAGACAGCUAAUACAUACUUACAAGACAUUUAUUGCAUAGUCAAACCAUGGAUCCAGAAGAAUAAGUCAAUAAGUCAAAUCAAGAUGUGCAUGUGUGGCGAAUGAAUGGUGUAUGGUGAUGAUGGUGAUAACAAUGGUGAAAGUCUAAUUUUCUACUUGUGCUCUUUUGAGGGGAUACAUACCUUUCUUGCUCUUUGAAGCUUUUUGAGGGGAAUGAGAUGCUCUAUAUUUUCUUUUUUUCUUUUCUCUCAGGUGGGUAUCUUGUACCCCUAAUUCUACUGUCGGACACUUGUCCAUUUUUACCUCUCGUCUCACUUUUUGUUUUCUUUCGAGAUUCUGGGCACUUGCCCUUUUUUAUUUCCUCGUAUUCUUUCUUUUUUUAGAGCACUCAUCUCCUAAAAUAAUAUAGCAAGUGGUAGUAACCAAGAUAACUUGAGCAUUUAUUUCACAGGGAAAAACAGAAAUAUUUUUGGCUAUUCUCUCCCGGAUUAGGAGUAGAAUAUUUUUAGGUGAUUCUGGAGAUAGAAAUGGGUGGAUAUAUGUGGAUGCGUACUUCCAGAGUAGAAGCAGCAUGUGUGAGUGAACGUGCAAGUGAAUCUUGACUUAACCACAUGACAAGCUCCUAAGGGUCUACACAGCUUAACCACACUCAAUGCUCAUAAGCAGUAAAAAGUAAAUAUGUGGCUCAAAGUCUAGCAAGCAUGUAUAUAUGGCUGUGGUAGGAAUUUAAACUCUCAUCAUACAGGAACUCAUCAUGCAACAUUUUAAAGAUUUUCAAAGAUAAAAAUUCUCCAGUUUUCUAGCAUCUCUAGGAACAGAUAAACAGCAGCUCAACCUUCCCAUAUUGUAUCCGCUAACGACUUAGACUUUAGAUCUAGUACUCUCCCCACAAGUUCAGGUUUAGAGCAAAUCUUAAUUAAUAACAGUCAUGCCUAAACUUGAGAGAGAUUUCAAUUUUGAGAACUAGUCAUGGCAGAGCAACUAUUCAUCAUUUCCAUAUGAGAGCUUAUCAUGAGAGUUCAUAGCAAACUUUAUUUAUUUAUUUAUUUAGCAAACUAAGCAAAGAUAUAUAUAUAUAUAUAAGCACAAUAUCUUUAUUUGGGUUCUUAUGAUUAUGCAUCAUUUUAUUAUUAGAGUAAAGUAUAAACGUGAGUAGAAUACUUAGCUGGAUAAAUGCGGGUGCUCUCCCCCAAGCUGGAUUUUGACGCAAUUUCUUCUGAUGCAGCUAGUAGGAGGUGGAGGUGUAUUUGAAUGUUGGUAGCACCCUGAUAGCGAUUAGGAUGUCCUCCGUCUGCUAGUCUUCUUUGAUCCUUCAAUUCUGUGGAGCUCAAAUAGACAACAAAGCUUUGUGUAACUAGUUAAGUGUUAGCAUAAAUAUCUGGCCUUUAUCAUGUUGAGCCUCCUCAAUAAAUAUUACUCUCUUUAGUAGGAUCAUAAAUUUAUUUUUAUAUUUUCAUUUUUAUAGGACAGGAAUAUAUUUAUUUUGUUUUUACGCCACCACAGUGAAUGUACUUAUGGGUUUUAUGCCAUGAGCAUACUCACAUGGGGCUUACUAUUUUUAACAUUUUUAUUUUCUUUUCGAGAUGAUAUGAACCUGAUUAACUACGUAAACUAUUUUAAAUAAUUGAAAGGAAAAAGAUAACUACCAAGUUUACCUCUUGGCAAGGCGUUCGGUGUUUUUAAGUCCUCUGAACGGGACUAUCCGUUUUCUCAGUCGUCCUGGGAUUCGAUAGAUGGCGUAGUCGGUGGUUCCGGUGGCGCCUCCUCUUCGUGUAUAACUAUCUUCUCUCUCUACACCUGACUCGGUGCUACGGUCUCCUCAGGACAGUUCUAUUCAAGUUGUAUGUCUUUAGACCUUACGACUUCUCCUUCAUAGUCUGCCCAUCCGUCCUUGAUGAUUUGCCUCCUCUGGUUGCGGUUGCGUUGUCUUCUUCUUGUCCUGACCUGCUUAGAGUCUUCAACUAUAUAGUUAGAGUCAGUAAAAUAGUGGCAUACCUUCUCAGAGGGGAAGUGCAUGUGGACUUCUCCUGUUCCAAUGUAGAUGAUUGCUUUAACGGUGCUGAGUAACCGUCUCCCAAGGAUGAUGGGUGGAUCGUACUCGUCUUCUCCCAAGUCAAUAACCUUCAACCCUUCAGAAUGUCUUAUCUGCCAUCUGGAGCCGAGUCGUCCUUUUUGGUCAGAAACGGUAACUUAAGUCGACGAUCUUGACCUCCUUGAACUGCAGUAACCAUCUUAGCUGACUUGGUCCACAUUUGCUUGGUCCUGUUCCUUGGUUCAUGUCGAGAUUGCUCUGAGAUUUGUGUAAUCUUGUUCUUGA